ACAGUCCUCUGUGCAUCCCUCCGCAUGCCAGUUUCCUCUCACAGUAGCUGUAGUUUCUGAUUUCACAUCUCCUACUUUUGGUAAAAUAAAGGAGAGUGAUAUUGAGAGUGGUAUUACACUUGAGCGUUGUUUGCCCAGCAUGUGCUGUGCUGAAUCAUUGCCGUCCUUUCUGGGAGCUCCUGGCCGUGCCUGUGCUGCAGUGUCCUUCCUUGGCAAGGUAAGACCACAAUGCAAAUAUGAUUUAGACCAACAGUGCUGGCAGCUAGCAGGGGGCAGAGUCCCUGGGUAGCACUGUAACAGCUAGCAGCGUCCCUGUUUUAGGAUGGGUGGACCAUUGCUGGGUAAUAUCACUGUGAGAGAAAAGUCAGGCAAGCCAGUUCUACCUGUGACUAUUCAAUUUGAUUUUUCAUGAAUGCUUUUGGCCAACCUUGUAGUUGAUGUCUCAGAGAAUAUUUUGGAUCAUAUUGAGAUCCACAGUGAUCUAUGACAAAUGAUGUCAUGUUGACUUUAAGGAUGGUCCACAGACUGGCAUUUAAUGUAAAAGAUCUUAAAUUAAAAGGUCUCUGUUUUCUGGAAUAAAGCCUACAAUGCACAUUCCUAGCACCAGUAAUUAUUGGGCUUUCUUUGAAAGACAAAACAUAUGACAAACUAAACACCAGGUAGGUCAGCAGAAGUACAAAGACAUUCUUACAAUUCUGUCAGGUGUUUUGUUGAAUCUUGGACAGGAAUUGACAUUUGCUGAAGCUUUGGAAGAAAGGGAGCUGCUAACUGCCAGACCCAGAGCAGGGCCAGAGCCAAGGAGCAGCCCUUUGUUUCAUGGGUAGAUUCAUCCUCUCAACAACAAUUACUGGAGCUCCCAUAUUUCAUGGCAGAAACCAAGAAGAGCCAAGUAACCUUCUCUUACUAAAACAAAGUUUGGAUCUGAAAUAUCUGCUGUUCAUCAGAUUUCAAUGUUUGAAAUUCUUCAAAACAGUCCGAGAUUUGCAGCACUGGAGACAAAAACUAUAUUCUCAUUAAAAAACAUGCUUGAUGCAGAUGAAGGAUCAUAUGGAGAUGCUAACACUCAAAACAUAAAAUUGAUAAAACAUAACCACGUAUAAAUUAGAAAACACAUUACAGUGCUUUAAAGAUUUCUCAUUCAGUGUAUAAUUUGUGUAAUUAUACAGUUAGCCUUUUUUUUUAUGACUUAAAUAUUCAGGCCAACUUACAAUAAUAAAAAAUUUGCUAAAAUGACUUCUUGUAGAAAGAAUGACAACUGUUUAAAAUAAAUACAUAUUUUAAAAGAUCUUCUAUUGCUCUGAGACUACAUCCAUCAAAUUCCACUAGAUGUCAGCGUUAUAGAACCAGUUUGUUUCAGACUUAAAAGCAUUAAGUCCACUUGGUUUAUUAUUGUUACCUUGUCUGUGAAAUACAGUACAUGUCAACUACACGAAUUACCAAACAAGUAUUUAUGGUAGUAAACUGAACGCAAAAUAACAGUCUCGUUUCACUUUUUUCCCCCUCAUUUACUUGAUUUGAAUAGAGGACUUCAAAUCAGUUUCAUAAUGCUGAAAAUGUUUUGAAAUAAGAUGUAAAUAAUUUCAGUUUUACUAACCAUUUUUCCUAAUGCAGCGACAUGGACUUCUCACUUCAAAAAACAGCACUACAACCUCUUUUUGUCAGGUACUAUAAUACCUUGACGAUAAAGCUCUUUAUGUUAAAUACAGUGUAGUUGAUCCAGGUUGAAAAUUAUAAGGCACGUACAUUUUUUUUUUUUAAACCACGUAUUCUGAAAUAUUGUUACAAUCGUGCUAUAUUGAAUGGCCCGUCAUAGCUACUGACUUUUUUUCAUGGUUUUGGACAAGAGGAAUGAAAGACCACGAAAUGCAGAAAAAAUACAGAAAAAUACAGAAAACCAAGGACAAAACAAAACACAACACAUUGGUACAAUGUACACUACAACAGCAAAGAUCAAAUCUUCUCAUUUCUUCGACCAACUAUGCAUUGACAAUUGCAAAGCAUUCUUGGUUUUUGCACUGUAAAUACCUGUCUUUAUUUAGCUAGAGAUGUUAAUCACUGGAUUGCCACAAUACCUGAAAUAAAAAAAAAGCUGUUUUCUCUUCUAUCUUUUUCAACAAAACAAAGCUGCCAAGUAAUUGUUGUUGGAAAAACAUGAGAGAAAUAAUAGGUAAGUACAAAAAUGAUGAACUAGAACGACAUCUGAGAAGAGAAUAAUAGUUAAGGAACAUAUGAAACCAAAUGGCAACAGUUCUAGGCAUUUAUUCCAAUAUCUUAGAAAAUAAAAAUAAAAAAUAUUCUUCAUUGCACCACCAUUUAAAGAUAGAAAAACAAAUUUUUAGAUUAAGCCAAAAGAAAUGUGAAUUGUUUCCUUAUUUUUUUCCAUUUUAAGCUUUGUUUAUUCACAGUACAAAUAUACCCUGCUGGUACAUAUUUUAGUCACAAGAUGCACAAAGUCUGAUAAGGAGCACUGUUUCUUUUUCUCCUUUGUAAAGCUGCUCUGCCCUACAAAGCUCCAUCUCCCCCCCAAACUUUUCAGUGCUUUAUUAAAUUGCAGAACAGAUCCAGGAUCGAGUGCCUUAUGCGAGCAGAAGUACUAAGAUAAGAGCAUGCAUUCCCACACACACGCUCAGCCAAGAAAAAAAACAGUUCAGUGAUUAAUUCAAAUCCACCUUAAGGCAAAUAGAUACGUAUUUUCCUACCUCUUGCUGAAAAAUUUUACUUCUCAAAUUUCAAACAUGAAUCUGGAAUUCAGUAAAUGAACUAAUGUUUGGCAUAAAGAAUGCUUUAACCAAAAAGAAGAAAUAAAAAGGAAAUGGUUUUCCCAACAAUAAAUCAAUUAUUAUGCCUUAAUUCUAUCUACAUUUUGUUAAAGCAUUUUAUGCGCCUUCAGUAACAUCAGAUUGCAAGUUUUUUUGGCAACUUUUUUUUUUUUUUGUAAUAAAAAUUCAGACAGUGUUCUCUGUUUGCAAUCAGAACCACAACCUUAGUGCAAUAUUAUAUUUAUUUCUUACAGUAAUUUUGGUUGCCAUACAAGAGUAUUAAGGAUUGGGGAAAAGUGCAAGUUACAGGAGCUUGAUUUUUUAAUCAGUUGAAAUAAGAGGAAUUAAAGCACAAAAAUUACAGCAACAUAGAUAACGUGAACACAAGUUGUUACACAAACUAUAGCGAGAAACAUAUUAAUAUCUAGAAAAGAAAAGAAAAAACGUAAUGGAAAAAUUAUCAAUAUUUGUGGCUCAUACACAUAAUCAUCGCCAGAUCAACUGGGUAAUGCUUUUUAAGAACUGAGGAAAAAAAAAAAAAUCACUAUUUUUAUUAACUUAAGUACCACAAAUAAUUACCUUUUGUGAUAUGUAAAUUCUGUAAAUCAACAGUCACAUCUAGUCAUUUUAUAAUAUAUGAAUUCAACUUAAAAUGUUCUCAGACACCUAGGGAAAGGAGUCUGUGCAGUUAUACACAAUUUACAUCUUGUAAGAUUUUGGUAUUGUAUACACAAAUAUUACAGAAACUAGGCAUGUAAAUGCAAUUUAUUUAAAUUACAGUAUAUAAACAAAAGUUGAUCCUAAAACCCAGAAUAUCAUAACGUAUUUCAUAGAUCUCUAACAACUUGUUUUUCACUAUCAUAGUAGCAUGAAAGAAAUGGGUCUUCUUUCCUCCCCCCAACAUUUCCAGACCGAUGAAAAUACUCGGAGGCAACGUCGUAUCUGUUACUAUUGCUUUCUGUAGCAAAAUCAUCACACAGAGCUAGAGACCAAUUCAUCUUGGCAGAGGUGUAUUUUAUUGGUGAAAGUAGGUCCUCUCAGGUCUCCUUACCUUUACUUUGUAAGACACAAUGUAAAAAAUAAACUAUUUCAUUAGCUCUUUAAUGUGUUAAACCUCUUUUCUACUAAUUGUAUUGUACCUAGUCUUUCAGUACCUGAAAAGAUACACGAGCAAGAAACACACCUGUGUAAGAAAGGGAUUACUGUCACCUGUAAUUUACCGUGUAUGUCAGCACUUGUUCAACGUAAAUUCAACAAGAAGGUUGUGAUUAAAAAGCAGCUUAAAAGUCAACUUCUACAUUUUCUUUUUCUACCAUAUUUUCUAAUGUAUUUUCUGGCACAUGUUAUAGAGGUAAUAUCAACUGUACCCAAAGAAACAAAAAAAAAGAGCAUGGCAUUAGUGGUUUAUUUACUGAAUUCUGUCGUAUCACCAAAUGGAAGACAAUGAUGGCUAAAUUACCAUUUUUACACUUCUUAAAGUAUUCGAUGGCCUCAAGUUGCCUGUAUCGACUAUCUGAAUGAAACUGCCAUUGUCUACAACACCUAUGGAAAAAUUCAGUACUCUUGACAGUAAAAUGCCUUAGUACUUGAUUUUUAUUACAAGGUUACUUGGAACUUUCAAAUACAAAUAUAGCGUAGUAACAGAUGUUAAGUCAAAAGAUUUGCUGUUCCAUAAAGGGGGCAGGAGGCUAAGUAAGUUGCUUUUUAUGAGUAUCCAAUGCGUUGGUAACUAUAACCACUUUUGAAGAAAUAUUCAUCCUCCUUUGUAGAAGUUCUAGCAAAGAUAGAAAAUAUAACACAGCUCUGCUGGUUCAGAUGCAUCCAAAUGAGGUUGAUUUUAAAAAGGUCAAGACUUUAUAAUUAUUCCACAGAAAUAGUAGUAAACCACAAAAGUUUUUUUUUUUUUUUUUGUUUUUAACUUUCUAGCACUGAAGUGGCACAAAGGCUGCCCAGUAGACCAGCCACUUAUUUUUCUUAAAAUAUUGUGCUUAUAAACUAUCUGUACAACUAUUUAAACUUGCAGUAAAGAAAGAUAUUUAAAAUGCUAAACUUUAUGUACUCAUACUAGGGCUGUUGCAGACCUAAUUAGACACUUGUUUGUGAGCAAAAAUAAUCACAAUAAAAAAAUUAGAGAUAGGCUGGACCAUAUCAAGGAAAGAAAAUUCAGGUACCUUACAAAAUGUAAGGGAACCUGAAAGUAUGGUAGGUAGGCAGUCUAGCCAUCCAUACACAAUUUACCCACCUUGAACAUCUUGAAUAUUAUGUCAAUAAAGACCUACAAAACUCACAGAUAUUAAGAGGUGUUAAUUACAAGGGGAGUUCAAACAUGCAGAGAGAGAUUUGUUAACUUUUUUU